UAUUAUAUAUUCUUCCAUAUUAUCAUUAAAAAAAAUUUUAGAGCAUUUCAUUGCAUGACUGUACUUCAACUUAAUCAGUUGCAUAUUAAAAUAUACUUGUAGCUAAAAUGUUUUACAUAACUUUAUUUCCUUGGGAUAAAUUUCUAUAAGAGAAAUUGUCUGGUGCCAUGGUUUUCUAAUUUACUAUGCAUUGGCAAGGUAUUAAUCGAAGAGGUGCCACCAAUUGUCAUUCCUACUUGCAAAAAUCUAGCAUACCACCACUCUCCUCUUUUGCCAAAUGGUACUGUGCCGGGGCUUGAAGUGCAGAAACGAGGCUGAGGUGACCUCUGCUCUCCUGAAGAUCACAGUUGAGUUGAGGAGACAGAUGGUACAAGAGAUCCCAGACCAACAGAGUGUCACCACACGUGGCAAUGAUGGCUCCACAGGAAGCCCAUUAGGCAUGAGGGUGACGAUCAGGGCUGGGACUGCUUUGGACUAGAGGCACUCUCUGGCAGGUGUUUCUGAGCAGAGAACAUUUCAGGCGAGUCAAGGAUGAAUCGGAGGGGCUGACAGGAUUCCACUGAUAAUUCUUUGGAGCAAAAUGAUGCCUUUGCCACUUAGUCAUCAGCAUUUGGAAUACAGUUUCUCUUGUCUGAGCUUAAACUGAAAGAACCCACAGUCUGUGAGUUCUAGCCGUUUAGAAAAAUGGCAGCUGCCGUAAGACGUGAACUUGGCAUUUGAAAUCAUCAGAGAACGAGGAGUUAGUGUGAGCUGCAUGAAAAUCAUAUGCGUGAUUUUUCCUGUUUCCUGCUCUGUAGCUGACAUCAGGGGAGCAAACUGAACACAGGAAAAUGGAAAUCAACAUUGGAAACUUUUAAAUGGAAGCUUUAUUGGGGUUCCACAUAUGGAAGACUGCAAAUAUCAGGAGUGUGUGACUCCGUAAAUUAAUCUGGAGUGACCAUAUGCUCUGACUGCCUCCCAGGACAAGAAGGAGAAUGUGGCCAACACUCCUGAAGGCCCCUUUCCCCUCAAAGAUAACCACCGGCUUGACUCCUGACACCAUACCUUUGUUUUGCUUCUUUUGAACUUCAUGUAAAUGGAAUCAUAUGGCAAUACACUCCAUUUUUUUUCAACUUGGCUUUAUGGAGGAGUUUUCUUUUUGUGACUGGUGGCCACAGCAGGCCCUCCUCUGGACAGACUGCAGUUUAUUUUAUCCUCACCUUACAAGGCAGCUCACAGAACGCACCAGAACUUCAGUGAGAACGUGGAAACCAUCUCCAUGUUCAUCGGUAGGUUUGAUAAAACAAGUAGUCGUAUAUCCAUACAAUUGAUCUCAAAGAAGCCAUUGCAAAGGAGUCAAUUGGUAAUCAACAUCGAUUACAGAGAACAGCUUCUCCACCCAGGUAUAAGAUGACUGCUGCUUCAGGCUUUGCUGCCCAUCUAGCCCAGCUCUGGCCAUUCCCCACAGCACCCCAUACUCCAGAGAAACCUCCUCGGCAUUCCCAGUCUCAUCCAGAUGGCCCACUCCUCCGUGACUUCACACCUGCUGUGUGCUUGACUUUGUUCUUUGGGUAACCUCCUGUAUAUCCCCUCAUGGUGCUCCCUGCUACCAUCCUCAUCAGUUCUUCCAUACCUUUCCAAUCAACCCAUCUUCAACCACACUCUAUGCUGAGAAACGUAUCUGCCCUUUGAGCUUCCAUUUCAUCCUAUUUACAUCUCUAAAAUAUAACUUAUUUUCUUUUCCGACAGCCACAGAUAUUUCCUGAGUGCCUCUUCCAUGGUAGGUCCUGCUCACGUGGUGAGAAUACAGCUCAUGUGGUGAGAAUACACCUCACAUGGUGAGAAUACAGGCACAGUUCCUGCCCCCCUGCGGGUCACAUUCCAGGUUACUUCAGGAAUACGUGUAAGAAAUUGAGAUGCUGCCUCUUCCGUGAUGUCACACUGGAGAGAAAAAUCCAGACUGGAUAGAAAUGGUGGAUUGAAAGGAAUUGUGGAUGAACACCUAGAAUCCUCUGGUAUUCCGAUUACUGCAUACAUACAUGCUGGGCAGUGACUGGAGAGCUGAGAAGAGAGGAAAAGGAAAAGGCUGAGGGUACAAGAGCUCUGAGCUUUGUGAGUUUUAGUGUCUUAAGUGAACCCAUCAAGGAGAAGGAGCCUAUUGCUUGCACAAGGCUCCGCCACCUCCUGGAUAGCAAAGAAUUGAUUUACUGGGUGCUUUUUCUGUAUAUAUGCCUACUGUGGUUAGAUUGUAUUGGUAAUUCAAAUAUAUUAGAUGUAUUAUAUUAACUUUUAUCAACAAAUCAAGAAUCACUGACUGUAUUUCUGUCAUGUGCAAGAUACCUUGACCAGGGAUGCCACUCUCCCCACUUGCUGCAUAGCUAGCACUUUCUCUCCUUCUAUGGGAUGACCUCCAACAUCCCCUCCAGAGGCUAUCCUGAAGCAUCUCAUUGGAAGUCGGUCUCUUCUUCUCUACCAUUUCUUACCUGAGGCCCUUGUCCCUACCUAACCAUAAUUAUAAUCGACAAUCCGUUCAUUUAUCUGCUAUUUGUUCGCCAUCUCUAGAAGGGCAGGACCAGCAUCAAUAUCCCUGAUGCUUGGUGCAGUGUCUGGCAUGUAAGGGAAGUAAAAUGUGUAGGAUGACUAGAUACACACAAAGCAUAAUAUGAAAUUAAAUCAGAUCCCUUUCUUUUUCUUAAAACUUGACAAUAUUGGGAAGAGCCAUGUACACAGAUAAGUAACAAAAUAAAGCAUGGCAACAUAAUUCCUUUUAAAAAUGAUGCAACUCAUAGAAAGAGCUGCAGGUGAUCUUGGUGCAUGUACAGGUGGGUACCAUGGUUUUUCAGAUGAGUAGAAAAAGCAGGGAAUAGGUUUGUGGUAGAAGUAGGAGCACAGCCUCAUAAACAACGUUCUUCCCAUUCACUGUUCUUUGGCCUCCAGGCAGGAUAUGUGAGUGAGUGAUGAGUGAUGUGUGUGUGUGUGUGUGUGUGUGUGUGUCUAGCUGCAGCCCGAAUUGGCACAUGGAGAGCUACCGUACUUGAGAUGUGUUGCACUGGAUUUCUUCGGGUCUUUGUUUUUGUUUUUGUUUUUGUUUUGAGGCAGAGUCUUGCACUUUCACCCAGGCUGGAGUGCAAUGGUGCGAUCUCAGUUUGCUGCAACCUCUGCCUUCCCAGUUCAUGCCAUUCACCUGCCUCACUUCCCUAGUGCCUGGGAUUACAGGCAUGUGCCACCAGAUCCCGCUAAUUUCUGUGUUUCUAGUUGAGACGGGGUUUUAA